GUCUCUAUAGCUCAGUGGCAGAGCGUCAGUCUCAUAGUUUCUAUGACCAUUCUACAAAUGAAUGGGUAAUCUGAAGGUCGACGGUUCGAUGCCGCCUAGGGACA
rfam:Magnaporthe oryzae 70-15 chromosome 5, whole genome shotgun sequence.